UACGGGGGGGGCAAGCGUUGUUCGGAAUUACUGGGCGUAAAGGGCUCGUAGGCGGCCAACUAAGUCCGACGUGAAAUCCCAAGGCUUAACCUUGGAACUGCGUCGGAUACUGGAUGGCUUGAAUUCGGGAGAGGGAUGCAGAAUUCCAGGUGUAGCGGUGAAAUGCGUAGAUAUCUGGAGGAAUACCGGUGGCGAAGGUGGCAUCCUGGACCGACAUUGACGCUGAGGAGCGAAAGCAUGGGGAGCGAACAGG
rnacentral:rRNA from 1 species